rnacentral:rRNA from 1 species
GGACCCCACUGCUAUCGGGAUGGGACUAAGACAUGCUAGUCGAGCGUCUCCAAGCUAUGGAAGAGACGCGGCAUACAGCUCAGUAACACGUGGCUAACCUGCCCUUGGGACAAGGACAACUCCGGGAAACUGGGGCUAAUCCCUGAUAGGUGAGAACUCCUGGAAUGGAUUCUCGCUGAAAGGACGUUUAGACCAUGCUUCUAGGCGUCGCCCAAGGAGGGGGCCGCGACCGAUCAGGUUGUUGGUGAGGUAACGGCUCACCAAGCCUUUAACCGGUACGGGCCGUGAGAGCGGGAGCCCGGAGAUGGGCACUGAGACAAGGGCCCAGGCCCUACGGGGCGCAGCAGUCGCGAAAACUCCGCAAUACACGAAAGUGUGACGGGGCUAUCCCGAGUGCCAUCCGCUGAGGAUGGCUUUUCCCCAGUGUAUAAAGCUGGGGGAAUAAGGAGAGGGCAAGCCUGGUGUCAGCCGCCGCGGUAAUACCAGCUCUCCGAGUGGUGGGGAUGUUUAUUGGGCCUAAAGCAUUCGUAGCCUGCUUGGCAAGUCCUCCGUUAAAUCCAACGAUUCAAUCGUUGGGCUGCGGGGGAUACUGUCCGGCUAGGGGGCGGGAGAGGCCGACGGUAUCCCCGGGGUAGGGGUGAAAUCCUAUAAUCCCGGGAGGACCACCAGUGGCGAAGGCUGUCGGCUAGAACGUGCUCGACGGUGAGGGAUGAAAGCUGGGGGAGCGAACCGGAUUAGAUACCCGGGUAGUCCCAGCUGUAAACGAUGCAGGCU